GGUUUCGUAGCUCCAAUGGUAGAGCGGAGGUUUGAAGAACCUUGCAGUAAUGGUUCGAAUCCAUUCGAAACCACCA
rnacentral:tRNA from 1 species